rnacentral:rRNA from 1 species
UACGUAGGCAGCAAGCGUUGUUCGGAGUUACUGGGCGUAAAGGGUGUGUAGGCGGCCUGUUAAGUUCCGUGUGAAAUCUCCCGGCUCAACCGGGAGGGUGCGCGGAAAACUGGCGGGCUAGAGUACGGGAUGGGAGAGUAGAAUUCCUGGUGUAGCGGUGAAAUGCGUAGAUAUCUGGAGGAAUACCGGUGGCGAAGGCGGCAUCCUGGACCAUAACUGACGCUGAGGCGCGAAAGCUAGGGGAGCAAACGGG